rnacentral:rRNA from 1 species
UUAUGGCUCAGGACGAACGCUGGCGGCGUGCCUAACACAUGCAAGUCGAACGAAACUUCUUUAAAGGAUUUCUUCGGAAUGAAUUUGAUUAAGUUUAGUGGCGGACGGGUGAGUAACGCGUGAGUAACCUGCCUCUAAGAGGGGAAUAACAUUCUGAAAAGAAUGCUAAUACCGCAUAACAUAUAUUUAUCGCAUGGUAGAUAUAUCAAAGAUUUAUCGCUUAGAGAUGGACUCGCGUCCGAUUAGUUAGUUGGUGAGGUAACGGCUCACCAAGACCGCGAUCGGUAGCCGGACUGAGAGGUUGAACGGCCACAUUGGGACUGAGACACGGCCCAGACUCCUACGGGAGGCAGCAGUGGGGGAUAUUGCGCAAUGGGGGAAACCCUGACGCAGCAACGCCGCGUGAAGGAUGAAGGUCUUCGGAUUGUAAACUUCUUUUAUUAAGGACGAAUAAAGUGACGGUACUUAAUGAAUAAGCUCCGGCUAACUACGUGCCAGCAGCCGCGGUAAUACGUAGGGAGCAAGCGUUGUCCGGAUUUACUGGGUGUAAAGGGUGCGUAGGCGGCUUUGCAAGUCAGAUGUGAAAUCUAUGGGCUCAACCCAUAGCCUGCAUUUGAAACUGCAGAGCUUGAGUGAAGUAGAAGCAGGCGGAAUUCCCCGUGUAGCGGCGAAAUGCGAAGAGAUGGGGAGGAACACCAGUGGCGAAGGCGGCCUGCUGGGCUUUAACUGACGCUGAGGCACGAAAGCGUGGGUAGCAAACAGGAUUAGAUACCCUGGUAGUCCACGCUGUAAACGAUGAUUACUAGGUGUGGGGGGUCUGACCCCUUCCGUGCCGGAGUUAACACAAUAAGUAAUCCACCUGGGGAGUACGGCCGCAAGGUUGCAACUCAAAGGAAUUGACGGA